GGUUUGGCAUAAUCCAGACCUGGAUCUGACAUCUCAGGCCCUGCCACCUGCUGGUUCCUUCCUCGCUGACACCAAGCAGAGGGGCAGUGCGCUCUCCUGUCCUUUGACCCAAGCAGGAGAAAUCCUAUCCUCCACCACCAUUAUGACGGGCUUUCAAACUUCAAAGAUGCGUCCUCGAUGGAGCGUGCCUUAAGUCAGACAGAUGUGGGUUCAAGACCACUUGCUUAGCAGCCUCAAAACCAAGCAAUACCGUCUGUCAUCCUCUGAUCACCAUUUCAAGAGGCGGUGAGAGCCUUCCGCACCCUCAGCUCCCUCUGAUUUUUGGAAUUCAGAUUUGGAUUUUGGAUGUACAUCAGGAAGCUGGUUCCAUGCAUUUUAAUUAAGCUGUCGUUUUUCAUUUAUUACUAAUACAGUCCUCUUAACUAUGAUUUAUUUGUUAAACAAAGCACCAUAAGCCAUCACUUAUUCAUCUUAAUUUCAACAAAAUUAAAGUAGUCGCUGUUAGAUUGCACCUAAUUGCACUUGCAAUGAAAAGAACGGAGAUGUUAAUCAAAAUAAAUUGAAGAUAAACAAUAAAAUCAUUACAUCUUUGCAGCGGUAA